AUGCUUGGGCAACGUGGGUCAAAGUGCAGUAUCUGUUUUUAUCAGCUUAAUAUCUGAUACAGGUUGUACUGUGACCUAAUAUAGUAAACUUGUUUUUUGCGACUUGGCAGAGUGCUUUAAAGCCUGCUUGACCUCCGCCGAAGGUCGGUCCGGUAUUGCACUAUCUUCGGAAUCGACCCACAUAUG